rnacentral:rRNA from 1 species
UGGGGAAUAUUGGACAAUGGGCGCAAGCCUGAUCCAGCCAUGCCGCGUGUGUGAAGAAGGCCUUUUGGUUGGAAAGCACUUUCAGCGAGGAGGAGGCUACUUGGAUUAAUACUCUAGGAUAGUGGACGUUACUCGCAGAAUAAGCACCGGCUAACUCUGUGCCAGCAGCCGCGGUAAUACAGAGGGUGCGAGCGUUAAUCGGAUUUACUGGGCGUAAAGCGUGCGUAGGCGGCUUUUUAAGUCGGAUGUGAAAUCCCUGAGCUUAACUUAGGAAUUGCAUUCGAUACUGGGAAGCUGGAGUAUGGGAGAGGAUGGUAGAAUUCCAGGUGUAGCGGUGAAAUGCGUAGAGAUCUGGAGGAAUUCCGAUGGCGAAGGCAGCCAUCUGGCCUAAUACUGACGCUGAGGUACGAAAGCAUGGGGAGCAAACAGG